GAAAGCUGCAAUAUCAUCUGUUCUGCAUUUCCGGUAACCUAAAUGGAAUGUAGGUUGUUCCAUGCUCGGUCUUUUCUAUCGAAACCCCCCAGAAGUGCAGACGCCCAAAUAAUAUCUCUCUGCAAGUGUAAAUUUUAUCAGCGCAAGAUCAGCGCAAGUGCAAAGUGUUUAUUUUUUUUUUCUUAUCAAAUUCCGAAUUUGCAACGGAGAUAAGGGCAGCCUAAGCCUGUGUUUGUGGGUUUUUUUUUUCUUUUGUGUGUCGCGGCUUUAUGAAAGCGCGACCUCGUUGCGGUCUUAUCAAAAUUUAUCAGGUGAAUAUAAAAUUUAUAUUUGUAAUAACUCCAGGGUACUUAUUGUGGCCGUUUUAAAGUUUCGUUGCGGUCCACACCAAAACACCCCGGGAGCGCUCCUGGUGGAGGCUCCCAGUUCAGGAGCGGCUUAACCUCGAUCGGGCUUUUAGUGAAGUGGAAAAAAAACGGAAUUGGAAAAUAUGAAGAUAAUAUUUAUUUUUUUUAAACUUUCGCGAACAAAAUGGUUGUCAGGUUAAUUUUAAAUCGUUUAAUUUUAAUCCUCGUGCGAAAAUAAGUUUGUUUUAAAAUUCUAUGGUGUGCAAAAACCUCAUUACACUCAUUUACAGCAACCCAAAGCAGAGAUCGAUCUUUCGCCGAUGGAUUUACAGUGAGUGGUUUAUUUACCUUUUACAUAU